UACGUAGGGGGGCAAGCGUUGUCCGGAUUUAUUGGGCGUAAAGAGCGUGUAGGCGGCCUGAAAGGUCAGCUGUGAAAACUCGAGGCUUAACCUCGAGACGUCGGUUGAAACCAUCUGGCUAGAGUCCGGAAGAGGAGUGUGGAGUUCCCGGGUGUAGCGGUGAAAUGCGCAGAUAUCGGGAAGAACACCCGUGGCGAAGGCGGCACUCUGGGACGGUACUGACGCUGAGACGCGAAAGCGUGGGGAGCGAACAGG
rnacentral:rRNA from 1 species